rnacentral:rRNA from 1 species
CCCUUAGAUGUCCUGGGCUGCACGCGCGCUACACUGAUGUGUCCAGUAAGCACCUAACCUCUUCCGAAAGGAACGGGUAACCUUUGCAAAGCACAUCGUGAUGGGGAUAGAUUAUUGCAAUUAUUAGUCUUGAACGAGGAAUUCCUAGUAAGCACAAGUCAUCAGCUUGUGUUGAUUACGUCCCUGCCCUUUGUACACACCGCCCGUCGCUCCUACCGAUUGAAUGGUUUAGUGAGAUCUUCGGAUUGGCGCCACUGCGGCUCAGCAAUGGGCUCGGUGGAUGCCGAAAAGUUGAUCAAACUUGAUCAUUUAGAGGAAGUAAAAGUCGUAACA